rnacentral:rRNA from 1 species
CACCACAACGGGUGGAGCCUGCGGUUUAAUUGGACUCAACGCCGGGCAGCUCACCGGAUAAGACAGCUGGAUGAUAGCCGGGCUGAAGACUCUGCUUGACUAGCUGAGAGGAGGUGCAUGGCCGUCGUCAGUUCGUACUGUGAAGCAUCCUGUUAAGUCAGGCAACGAGCGAGACCCACGCCAACAGUUGCCAGCAUGGUCUUCGGACUGAUGGGGACACUGUUGGGACCGCCUCUGCUAAAGGGAGGAAGGAAUGGGCAGCGGUAGGUCAGCAUGCCCCGAAUUAUCCGGGCUACACGCGGGCUACAAUGGAUGGGACAAUGGGCUUCGACACCGAAAGGUGAAGGUAAUCUCCUAACCCCACCCUUAGUUCGGAUUGCGGGCUGCAACUCGCCCGCAUGAAGCUGGAAUCCGUAGUAAUCGCGUCUCAAGAUGGCGCGGUGAAUAUGUCCCUGCUCCUU